AGGUGUUAGAGGGAAGAGAUGUUAUAGGGGAGAGAUGGGAGAAUGGAGAGUUGGGAGAGGGAAGAGAGAGAUAGGCAAAGGGAGAGAUAGGUAGAGAGAGAGAUAGGUAGUGAGAGAUAUAGGUAGAGAGAGAUAGGUAGCGAGAGGUAUAGGUAGAGAGGUAUAGGUAGAGAGAGGUAUAGGUAGAGAGAGGUAUAGAUAGAGGUAGUGAGAGAGAUAGGUAUAGAGGGAGAGAGAUAGGUAGAGAUAGGUAGAGUAGAGAGAGAAACAGGUACUGAGAGAUAGGUAGAGAGAGAUGGCUAAAGAGAGGUAGAGAGACAGGUAUUGAGAGAGAAAGAGAGAGAGAGAAAGAGAGGGAUGGAUUUCAGGUCAGUUAACAGGAAGGUAUUAAAUCCUGUGUAUUUGUGUGUGUGCGUGUGUAUGUGUGUACGUGUGCCCCCACUUCUAAGUAUUCAUACUGCUAAUAAAUAUCAGUAGUAAUACCAGUAUUUCUAAAACUACCAACAGUGAUUCUAGCACUUAUCACUUCUACUUAUAAAACACAGAAAGUAAUUAGGUUGUAAAAUUUAGCUUGUCUCAGCUUCCAGGAGUGUCUGACGUCACAUCUCGCUAGGCUGCCCCUCGCUAGGCUUCCCCUCGCUAGGCUUCCCCUCGCUAGGCUGCCCCUCGCUAGGCUGCCCCUCGCUAGGCUGCCCCUCGCUAGGCUGCCCCUCACUAGGCUGCCCCUCGCUAGGCUGCCCCUCGCUAGGCACCCACUUGCUAGUCAACACUAUCUUCAUCUUAUCUAUGCUAUUUCUGCUCUAAUUCUGGUAAUAACUUGCAGGAGUGAGUGACCAGUAUCUACAGUGACGCAAGGCCAGGAUUCGGAACCCCACAACAACCCCAACAGUAAGUUGAGGCCAUCAUCACAAUGAGAACUGUGUUGUUCCUGUUGGCGACUGUGUUGCUGGCAGCUGCCUACACUCAAGCAACUGCUACGUCUGGAACCACCGAGCAACCAGGUGAUCAAGGAACCAGCGGGACACAAAGUGACGCAGGAACCACUGCAUCACAAGAUA